GGACGAACGCUGGCGGCGUGCUUAACACAUGCAAGUCGAACGGAAAGGCCCUGCUUUUGUGGGGUGCUCGAGUGGCGAACGGGUGAGUAACACGUGAGUAACCUGCCCUUGACUUUGGGAUAACUUCAGGAAACUGGGGCUAAUACCGGAUAGGAGCUCCUGCUGCAUGGUGGGGGUUGGAAAGUUUCGGCGGUUGGGGAUGGACUCGCGGCUUAUCAGCUUGUUGGUGGGGUAGUGGCUUACCAAGGCUUUGACGGGUAGCCGGCCUGAGAGGGUGACCGGCCACAUUGGGACUGAGAUACGGCCCAGACUCCUACGGGAGGCAGCAGUGGGGAAUAUUGCACAAUGGGCGGAGGCCUGAUGCAGCAACGCCGCGUGCGGGAUGACGGCCUUCGGGUUGUAAACCGCUUUCGCCUGUGACGAAGCGUGAGUGACGGUAAUGGGUAAAGAAGCACCGGCUAACUACGUG
rnacentral:rRNA from 1 species